AUUCUCUCUUGUUCUUUCUCUUUCUUCUUCAUUCUUGUUCUUCUUUCUUCUUCCCCUGUUUCUUUUCUUGUUCUUUUUCCGCCGGUGAUUCUGUGAGAAGUCUUAAGAGUCGGAGAUCGAAAAGGGUAAGGGAAUAUCAAACAAUAUCUAGUGGUGGUGGUGUUGAAUCGUCUAAGUGAUUCAGGCUCAUCAGAAAAGGGAAACUCAGAGUAUACAAUUUAGGGUUUUCAAUUAGGAUUGACGUUCUAAAGAUUUUGAAGAUGAUGUAUAGAGCUACUGCUAGAUAAGGAAGCAUGGGUAGUCGUUUAAUUGAGUUUCUGAAGUUGAUUCGGUGGUGAAUCGAGAAUUAAGGUUUUGUUCUUGAGGAUUUUGGAUAAGGAGAAAUUAGAAGAUGAAAUUAGUGGUUUAGGGAAGAGAAUAGAGAUGGGUUUAUCCUGAAUUAGGGCAUAAGGUUGAUAAUCAUCUCGAAUUUGAUAGUUAAGGUUUGUAGUUUUGUAACUGAAGCUCAAGUAGUGGUUGAUUUGAAGAUGUUGAUGGAGUUAGGGUUUAAUUCUGCUAAUUAAAAACGUAACUGAGUUGAUGUUGAUGCUGAACUGAUUUUUGUUUUGACAAACCAAGGAAUCAGGAUUAUCUACUUCACUUGGAAUUGGAAUUAAGGUAAUAUUUCUUUAGUUGAUUGAAGUCUGUUAUACUCAUUGAUUUAUGAUAUAGGCGUUAGUGUUAUAUCUGUUGAGGCAGAAGAGAUGAAUCUGAUAAUUAGUGGUUAUAAUUGACAUGUAGAAUGAAACUUCAGUGAGGGGUAUUGGGUUGGCUGUGGUUAUAGUUGUGGUUGAUGUGGAGGACAUAUUAUUUUGAAAUGAAACUGGGCUGGUAUUGCAGAUGAUGAGGAGUUUGUUUUGUGUUGAUAUAGAUGUAUAAAAUGGUUUGUUGCUGUUGUGAUACAGAGUUACAGGCGAAAGAGUAGUGGCAGAAAUGGAGAUAAUGUUUAUGUAUGAAUUGGUUAUGGCGAUGGUGAAGUUGAGGAGGCAGUUCAUGAGAAUGGUGUUACUAAAUUUACAGAUUGUGUAGGCAGAAACUGAAUUGGGGGUGUUGGAUUGAGUUACAGUUGUAGGUGUUGGAAAUUGGUAUUGGUGGUUUGUUUGUGUUGGUAAAUGGUUUUAGUGUUUGAGUGACUCUGAAGUUGCAGGUGGAAUGAGAUGGUAUUGUAAGAAGAGGGUUUAAGCAGUUCAUUCUUUAGUUGCAGUUUUUGGAUUUGGAUAUGCAGGUGGUGGUUCUGUAUGAUGAAUGUAACUGUGUAUAUUGGUGGUUUAGAUGAAUUGAGAUGGAAACUGAGAUGAUGUUGAGGCAUGAGUUUUUCUGCAGGUGCUAGUGUUGCCUGUGUUGCUGUUGUGGGGUUAUAGAAAUGAAUGUGCAGAGUUAUUUGAUGUUGCAAUUGAGUUGAGGGCUAGUAGUUGAUAGUGUUAUUGUUGUUGGAACUUGAAUGUACUUGUGAGAUGUUUGAGCUGAAGUUGAUUGUAUGCUGUUAUAGCAGUGGCCUUAGUGAAAGCCUGCAACUGCAGAUUAAGUUAGUCUAUAUUAACAACGAUCGAUUCAAAGGAUGAACCAGUGGAUCGUGGAUCUCGAGGUAGGCGUGGCUUGUCGUCAAAAGAGGUGGGAAUACAUUUGACUCUCUUGUAACCAUUGAUGUUUUCUCUUACAAAGAUUUGUGUUUAUCAAAUUCAUGCGUUGUCUAGUUGUGCAUUCCAUGCUUUGUUUAUAUUACAUUAUGACAAUUCUGUUGAUUCCGUGAAUCUUUCCACGAUUUAAAAAGGACUUGUAAUGUUUUGUUUGUCAUUACGAAUUGUUAUGGGAAAUGAGAAUUUCCACUUGUGGUAUAUAGGAUACGCUCCUUCACAAUUAUAUCUACAUGAAUUCAGCUUUUAUGCUUAGAGUGGGUUAUCAUGGUCUUGGUGAUAUCAAUAGCUAAUGAGUGUGGUUAGCACGAAUAUUAUACAUUGUUUGAAAGAAGGAGUUUGUUCAAUAUACUUGUAUGUUUACCUUAGUGACUUAGUCACUGUUUAAUGUUUCAGAAAAAUAUGUAUUGUUUUCCAACUCUUGCUUAUGAUUACUUGAAAGUUAAAUGUUAUUCCUGCCGGGCACUCCUUUUAGGGAUGAUGUGCUCCACCCGUUCCCACUUUCAAUUUCAGAGACAGAUCAGAGUUGCGCAGUGGAAGCUUUGUGGCGUUGAGUCUUAUGCUAUGUUUAUUAUGUUGUAUAUUUUAUUUAUAAUUAAAUGAUUAUUGUUAUGUAUCACAUGAGAGGAGUUUUUGUAUAUAUUAAUAUGUUUCUGAGCGGGGCUAGUUUUUGGGUUAAGUUUUGUAGCCGAUUUCUUAAUUGAAUGCUUAAGUUAUGUUUUAGA